rnacentral:piRNA from 1 species
UUUUGCAUAUGAACUGUGGUC